rnacentral:rRNA from 1 species
AUUGAACGCUGGCGGCAGGCCUAACACAUGCAAGUCGAGCGAGCGGCGGACGGGUGAGUAAUGUAUGGGGACUGCCCGAUAGAGGGGGGUAAAUACUGGGAACGGUAGCUAAUAACGCAUACUAUCGGAUAACCCAUAUGGGAUUAGCUAGUUGGUACGGUAAUGGCUCACCCAGGCAACGAUCCCUAGCUGGUCUGAGAGGAUGAUCAGCCACACUGGGACUGAGACACGGCCCAGACUCCUACGGAGGCAGCAGUGGGGAAUAUUGCACAAUGGGCGCAAGCCUGAUGCAGCAAUGCCGCGUGUAUGAAGAAGGCCCUAGGGUGGUAAAGCACUUUCAGUCGGGAGGCGUUACCGAAACAAGAAGCACCGGCUAACUCCGUGCCAGCAGCCGCGGUAAUUC